rnacentral:rRNA from 1 species
CCUACGGGUGGCUGCAGUGGGGAAUAUUGGACAAUGGGGGAACCCUGAUCCAGCCAUGCCGCGUGUGUGAAGAAGGCCCUCGGGUUGUAAAGCACUUUCAGUGAGGAAGAACGCCUGGUGGUUAAUACCCAUCAGGAAAGACAUCACUCACAGAAGAAGCACCGGCUAACUCCGUGCCAGCAGCCGCGGUAAUACGGAGGGUGCGAGCGUUAAUCGGAAUUACUGGGCGUAAAGCGCGCGUAGGUGGCUUGAUAAGCCGGUUGUGAAAGCCCCGGGCUUAACCUGGGAACGGCAUCCGGAACUGUCAAGCUAGAGUGCAGGAGAGGAAGGUAGAAUUCCCGGUGUAGCGGUGAAAUGCGUAGAGAUCGGGAGGAAUACCAGUGGCGAAGGCGGCCUUCUGGACUGACACUGACACUGAGGUGCGAAAGCGUGGGUAGCAAACAGGAUUAGAUACCCCAGUAGUC